rnacentral:rRNA from 1 species
AGGUGGUGCAUGGUUAUCGUCAGCUCGUGUCGUGAGAUGUUGGGUUAAGUCCCGCAACGAGCGCAACCCUCGCCUCUAGUUGCCAGCAUUCGGUUAGGCACUCUAGAGGGACUGCCGGCGACAAGUCGGAGGAAGUGGGGAUGACGUCAAAUCAUCAUGCCCCUUAUGACCUGGGCUACACACGUGCUACAAUGGGCGGUACAAAGGGCUGCGAACCCGCGAGGGGGAGCGAAUCCCAAAAAGCCGCUCUCAGUUCGGAUUGCAGGCUGCAACUCGCCUGCAUGAAGCCGGAAUCGCUAGUAAUCGCAGGUCAGCAUACUGCGGUGAAUACGUUCCCGGGCCUU